rnacentral:rRNA from 1 species
AGCGAACGCUGGCGGCAGGCUUAACACAUGCAAGUCGAGCGGGCAUCCUUGUGGUGUCAGCGGCAGACGGGUGAGUAACGCGUGGGAACGUGCCCUUCGGUUCGGAAUAACUCAGGGAAACUUGAGCUAAUACCGGAUACGUGCGAGAGCAGAAAGGUUUAUCUGCCGAAGGAUCGGCCCGCGUCUGAUUAGCUAGUUGGUGAGGUUACGGCUCACCAAGGCGACGAUCAGUAGCUGGUCUGAGAGGAUGAUCAGCCACACUGGGACUGAGACACGGCCCAGACUCCUACGGGAGGAAGCAGUGGGGAAUAUUGGACAAUGGGGGCAAGCCUGAUCCAGCCAUGCCGCGUGAGUGAUGACGGCCUUAGGGUUGUAAAGCUCUUUUCUCCGGGACGAUAAUGACGGUACCGGAGGAAUAAGCCCCGGCUAACUUCGUG